CAGGAUGUAGGAAAGCCUGGUACUGGCGCGUGUUUCGGGUACACGAGAUCGUCGGUUCAAAUCCGACCGUCCUGA
rnacentral:tRNA from 1 species